UGCUGCAUAGCUCAAUAGUAGAGCGCUCGCCUGAUAAGCGAGUGGUGUAGGUGCGACUCCUGCUGCGGCAA
rnacentral:tRNA from 1 species